rnacentral:sRNA from 1 species
GUUUCAAUUCCUCAUAGGCAGGCUAUCGGCCAUCUUCGUCCUCCUUUUGUGCUAAAUAUUCAUUGUUG